rnacentral:rRNA from 1 species
AUACCCUAUUAUUUUUAAUGUAAAUUUAUUAAAGCUUGAGUAUUAAUAGUUAUGGUCUUUAAACUUAAAGAAUUUGGCGGUAUUAUAGUCUAUUUAGAGGAAUCUGUUAUAUAAUCGAUAGUCCACGUUGGAUCUUAUUUAUAUUAUUUCUUGUAUACCGCUGUUUUUUGAAAAUAUUUUUAGAUAAUUUUCUUAAUAUUUGAAUAAAUAGUAUUUCAAGUCAAGGUGCAGUAAUAUAUAAAGCUAAUAAUGGAUUACAAUAAGUUUUAUUUAAACGAAUUAUUGGUUGUGAUUUUAAUAUGAAGGUGGAUUUAAUUGUAAUUUGAUUAAGAUUGUUCAUUUGAUUUUAGGCUCUAUAAUAUGUACACAUCGCCC